rnacentral:rRNA from 1 species
CAGGACGAACGCUGGCGGCGUGCCUAACACAUGCAAGUCGAGCGAGGUAUUUGCGGCUGAUUCCUUCGGGGAGAAGCUGCAAAUCACCUAGCGGCGGACGGGUGAGUAACGCGUGAGGAACCUACCUCCUACAAAGGGAUAGCCUCGGGAAACUGGGAUUAAUACCUUAUGACACUUAAGAGUCGCAUGACUUUUAAGUUAAAGCGUUUUAGCGGUAGGAGAUGGCCUCGCGUCCCAUUAGCUAGUUGGUGAGGUAACGGCUCACCAAGGCGACGAUGGGUAGCCGGCCUGAGAGGGUGGACGGCCACACUGGAACUGAGACACGGUCCAGACUCCUACGGGAGGCAGCAGUGGGGAAUAUUGCACAAUGGGCGGAAGCCUGAUGCAGCGACGCCGCGUGAGUGACGAAGGCCUUCGGGUCGUAAAACUCUGUCCUAAGGGACGAUAAUGACGGUACCUUAGGAGGAAGCCCCGGCUAACUACGUGCCAGCAGCCGCGGUAAUACGUAGGGGGCGAGCGUUGUCCGGAAUUAUUGGGCGUAAAGGGUGCGUAGGCGGCCUUUUAAGUCAGGUGUGAAAUCCAUGGGCUCAACCUGUGUAAGCACUUGAAACUGGAAGGCUUGAGUUAAGGAGAGGAAAGUGGAAUUCCUAGUGUAGCGGUGAAAUGCGUAGAUAUUAGGAAGAACACCAGUGGCGANNNNGGCUUUCUGGACUGUAACAGACNNNNAGGCACGAAAGCGUGGGUAGCGAACAGNANNNNNUACCCUGGUNNNNNNNNNNNNNNNNNNUGNGNGCNNNNUNUUGGGGUCGAUAGAUCUCGGUGCUGAAGUUAACGCAUUAAGCACUCCACCUGGGGAGUACGAUCGCAAGAUUGAAACUCAAAGGANNUGACGGGGACCCGCACAAGCGGUGGAGCAUGUGGUUUAAUUCGAAGCAACGCGAAGAACCUUNNCAAGGCUUGACAUCCUCUUGGCUAGUUCUUAAUCGAACUAUUCCUUCGGGACAAGAGAGACAGGUGGUGCAUGGUUGUCGUCAGCUCGUGUCGUGAGAUGUUGGGUUAAGUCCCGCAACGAGCGCAACCCCUAUCUUUAGUAACCAGCGAGUAAAGUCGGGGACUCUAGAGAGACUGCCGGGGUUAACCCGGAGGAAGGUGGGGAUGACGUCAAAUCAUCAUGCCCCUUAUGUCUUGGGCUACACACGUGCUACAAUGGCUGCGACAGAGGGAAGCGAAGGGGUGACCUGGAGCGAAACCCAAAAAAGCAGUCCCAGUUCGGAUUGUAGUCUGCAACUCGACUACAUGAAGUCGGAAUCGCUAGUAAUCGCGAAUCAGCAUGUCGCGGUGAAUACGUUCCCGGGUCUUGUACACACCGCCCGUCACACCAUGGGAGUUGGAAGCACCCGAAGCCGGUGACCGAACCUGAGUGUUCAUCAAGCAGAUCAAAUAUAACAAUCUGACAGAUAUUUUUGCAAAUAACUUCGUUAGUGAAGUGCACUCAUACCUUCGAGGUAUUAGCACCCAUCACUGCCUUGUUCUUUACAAAAAUCUCAAGUCAGCUUGUCAUUUAUGAUCUACUUGAUGAGCACUUAGGACGGAGCCGUCGAAGGUGAAGCCAAUGAC